rnacentral:rRNA from 1 species
GUCUAUGGUCACCCUGAACACACGUGAUCUCCUCUGAUCUCGGAAGCUAAGCAGGGUCGAGCCUGGUUAGUUCUUGGAUGGGAGACCACCUAGGAAGACCAGUGCUACAGGCA